AAAGAGUUAGACGAAUACGCUUGUAGUGAAUGGAAGGACUGGUAAAUCGAGUAGAUAAAUAUGUUUAAGCCGUACAGCAUAGAUCGGCUGGAGCAGAUACUGCACAUUGAAAAAAUCAACAAAUAACCGUCUUGAUUGGGAGAACUAUGAUGCAGACAAUGAAUUGGACAACAGUUAUGUAUUAGACUCCACUCUAAUUGAUAAACUCACCAAGGAUAUUCA